rnacentral:rRNA from 1 species
AUGGUCUCCAAGCUGCAAUACUACUUGCCUCUCUUUGGGUCCUCUGAGCACCUCCUCCGGGCCUUCAAGAGGAACCCCUACCUUCUCUCGUCUGACCUUGAGGGUGUGGUCAAGCCCAAUGUCGCUUAUCUGCACGAGUGCGGGCUAGGUGCUUGUGAUAUUGCCAAGCUAUGCAUCAGUCGACCAGGUCUGCUCGUCAUCAAUCCAGAGCGCUUCCAGGACAUGGUGGCAUAUGCCGAAAACAUAGGUGUGCCCUGUGGUUCUGGGAUGUUCAGCCACGCGCUGCAUGCUGUUGCGUGUUUCAGCAAAGAGGAGAUCGCGGCCAGGGUGGACUACUUGAAGAACACGUUCAUGUGGACGGAUGCUGAGGUGGGCAUUGCUGUUUCUAAGGCCCCAUUGAUACUGACGAGGUCCAAGGAAUCGCUGCAGCGCAGGUCUGAGUUCCUCAUCUCCAAGGUGGGGUUGGAACCGGCAUAUAUUGCUUGUCAUCCGGCAAUGCUCACGUAUAGCUUGGAGGGUCGGCUCAGACCCCGGUACUAUGUUGUCAAAUUUCUCAAGGAAAGUGGAUUGCUAGAUCAUGACCGGGGCUACUUUGGUGCAGUCACGAUCAGCGAGAAGGUAUUCGUCGAGAAGUUCAUAUGCCCUCAUAAGGAUGCUGCACCGCAUCUCGCUGAAGAUUAUGCAACAGCUUGCAGAGGGGAGGUUCCAGCUAGAUUCAGUUUUACAUGA